CUACAUCCACUUUGAGAACCAGCUUGGAAGGAUUUUAUUAAGAGCAAUAAUUAAGAUAAGAAUUACAGAAUCAACAAGAUAAUAUGCAAUUUGUAAUUUUAUCGUCGAAACCGACUUUACAGUCAACCAAACACUAAGAAACUGAAAGACCCACGUGUCGGUUGUUUCCUCUAAUACCGAGACCCAAAACUCACCAGAAAUUGCCCCUCUGACCGGAGACCCACGUGUCGAGCACUCACUACAAACCCAAGAAGAGCCAACAGUAGAGAAGAACAACCACGACUAAACCCACAUUUGUCGGCUCGAAACGACAAUUAAACUAGCUACCAAACCACUAAAAAAAAUGUCAGUGAAGGACGUCGGACGUCGCUUGCGAAACACCCACUGCAACAUAGGAAAGACCUUCUGCUGCCACUGGAAUCCCACGCCCCGAAAGAUUAUGGAAAUGGUAGACAUGUGAUUAACAUGCAUUACAACUCUAAAAUGAAACAAAAUAGGGUUAAUAGAAAAACUCACCUUUGAUGCUUUUCUAUUGUCGUAAUCUCGUCACGGUCUCGAAGCCGAGACUACCACUAGGUUGACCCGCUAUUCUUCAAACUUAGAAUCAAGUUGUGAAACUCAAACGAUAGAGAAAAUAGAGAAAGAGAUGGAUUUAGGAGGAAGAACUUGGUUUUGAGAACUUCUGGAGAGAAAAGGAAUUUUGGUUUGAUUUUGCAAUUCCAAAUUACAAAAUCA
rnacentral:lncRNA from 1 species